UGUAUUUAGAGGAAUAAAAAAGCUGGU
rnacentral:piRNA from 1 species